rnacentral:rRNA from 1 species
GAUCCUGGCUUAGGAUGAACGCUAGCGACAGGCUUAACACAUGCAAGUCGAGGGGCAGCAUAAAAGUAGCAAUACUUGGUGGCGACCGGCGCACGGGUGAGUAACGCGUAUGCAACCUACCUAUCAGAGGGGAAUAACCCGGCGAAAGUCGGACUAAUACCGCAUAAAACAGGGGCACCGCAUGGUGAUAUUUGUUAAAGAAAUUCGCUGAUAGAUGGGCAUGCGUUCCAUUAGGUAGUUGGUGAGGUAACGGCUCACCAAGCCGACGAUGGAUAGGGAACUGAGAGGUUGGUCCCCCACACUGGUACUGAGACACGGACCAGACUCCUACGGGAGGCAGCAGUGAGGAAUAUUGGUCAAUGGGCGGGAGCCUGAACCAGCCAAGUCGCGUGAAGGAAGAAGGAUCUAUGGUUCGUAAACUUCUUUUGCAGGGGAAUAAAGUGCAGGACGUGUCCUGUUUUGUAUGUACCCUGAGAAUAAGGAUCGGCUAACUCCGUGCCAGCCGCCGC